UUUUUUUAAAUUAAUGCAUUACUCAAACUCCCAACAAAAUAGUUGUUACGCUGUGUGCAGGCAGUCCUUUGUUUCUUAUUACUUUUUAAUAUACAUUUUCUUGGUAGAGUUCAAUAGUAUCAGUGUGUAUAUAUAUGUAUAUACAGACAAUAUUAUGUAUAUAGUAUAUGUAUUAGUUACUAUAAGUGACUGAGACCAAAGUGAUUUGAAGUUACUUGGACUUGCUCAGUUUUCACUGUGACAAAGUGCAGUUACAUGAAUAGAACUGCUAAAGCAUGAAGUUUGGUCUUGGCUAGAUCUGCCAACUAGACACAGUAAUAGAGGUGUGAGGGCUUAGUUAAGAAGUCUCUAUAACCAGCCUGUUGGCAGGAAAUUACAGUGGGGAUGAUAGCAACAACUGUUAUUAUUAGUAUUGAAAUACAUCCCCUCAUAAAGCAUCUUUUAAAGAACUAUAAAAUUGCAACAGUUGGAAUGACAUGGUUAUGCUUAUCACAAUAUGGAAAGAUUAAGUAUCAGAGUAUGUGGCUUUGUUAACUGCCUUUUUAACAGCUGUAAUUUUGGAGAGUUUUACAAUUCUUAGUUGAAAAUUUUACAGUAAAUUAAAAAAAGACUGGAAAUUAAUUUUACACUUUUGCACUUCAUGUUGCUCUUUCUGUAAUCACCUUUCUGUAUCUUUUCAUUUUUUCAUACAUCCUAUUCUGAAAAUUUUCUUAAGGGUUAGGGAAGUUGAGAUUAAUGGAAGUUAAUUAUUUCUUUAAAUUAUCUUUUAGGUGGCUUGAGAACCAAUCAGUGAAGAACCAAUCAGUGAUUCUGUAUAUAAUCUACAGGUGUAUAUCACAGAUUGAGUGAAAUAACUGGAAUUUCUCUGUUCUUUUUGUUUUACACAAAUACACCAGAAACUGAAGAAAUCGGGUCUUAAAAAUCUGAGCAAAGCUGGAUCCGGAACGUCUUCUCACAAACAACCAAGCAAUGUGAUGAAUAAAACACAGAGGUGGUGAUCUGGUGGCAGGUAAAAGAAAGAGUAAGUAACUGCAAUUCCUAGAGAAGGCUCCAGACUGCCAGCUUGUGGUGAAUGUAGCAGCACUGGUGUGGUGAUAGUCUAAAGAUACAGAUUUUCCACAAAAGCUGCAGUCUGAGGUGUAAGUAUGUGAACAAACAUAGUCAUUUAGGAAGACAGAUAGUUGGGAAAAUCUGCAAGGCAUCCUGACAGGAAGAACCCAAAACUUCCAUAAUUUAACUUCAGAAGAGUGAUUUUUUUUUCUUUGAUUUUUCCUCCAUUUAUGCAUUUACAAUCUUGUUAUCUGUUUCAGAUAUUGUGAAUAAACAUCUUUAUUUGCAUGGUUAACUGAACCUGACAUGAAUUAAAAGUGAUAUGAUAUUAAAUGAAUAUAAAAAAGUAAUUUCUCAUUCUAGUCCCUGGAGCAAACCACAAGUAUCUGGCUCUCUGUUAUGUUUUGUAGAAUAGCAGAAAGCUAGGAGACCAUGUUUCCAAGGAAAUUGUUCAGGUUCUCUGGAAAAAAGCUAUUAUAGGUUCAGAGAAGAAAGAAACAUCACUUCUGUAGCUGUAAGUAACCAUCUCUCUGUCAUUCUUGGUACUGGGGUAUAUCUUGAACUUAGGCUCUAGCAGAGCCUAAGACCAGUUGGAAACUAAAUUAAAUUCCUAUAUCCUAUCCUACUGUGACAGAACUUAAAGUAUGCCUGCAAUACACCUAUUUCAAUAUUAUGUUAUUAGCCAAAUGUAGUUGUUUAGUGCUGCAGGCAGUUUUGUGUAUUGUGGUCCCAGGGUCUCUCCAGUCACUGGGCUGUUCAUCUUAGUCCAGUUGUAUUGCUUCCUUCCUUCCAUUUUUUUUCUUGGUAGUAAACAUAAUGUUGAUACUGCAGUGAUAAAUUGAUGUAGUUCUGGCUUUCUACAUUUGUAUAUAUUUGGAAACACUAAAUGUUGAUAACAACAGUAUAGUUAGUAGCAUUGGUGCCAUUACCUUGUUUUAGCAAAAUUGAGCACUUAAUAUUUAUCUCCAAACCUGCUCUGGUACACUUAUUUUCACUCAAACCUUUGGUUUCACCUCUAGUAACUUCUGCAUCAAUGAUGCAUUUUCCAAUGAAGUCAUGAAGACUAAAACUACAUUAAGAGAUAGAAGUUCUUAAAUAAAGCACAAAGAAUUAGAGAUUUUCUUAUGAACUGAGGUAAUACAUUUUAUAAAAUGAUCUCCUUUCCUCCUUGUAUAGACUCCAGCCUCUUCCAGGAACCUAUCCAGGCAAUGUCAGCUUAAUGAUCAAAACCUUAAAAUAGAGGUGAAAAGUACUAAAUUUGGAUGUCCAAUUUAGUAUCUAUCACAGGGGUAUGAUUUCUAAGAACUUGUAACAUAGGAAGGUACUUAUAUUUAGCAUACAUUCCCAUUUAUUUCAGUGAGUAUUUGGCUCUGCUCAUCAGAUCAAAGGUGUCAAGGUUAGUGCUGAGAGAUCACUGACAAUCACACAGUAAUCACACAGUAGUUAGGAGCAAGCAUUCCCUGCCAAAACCAUGAUGCCCUUGUGCAUUUAUAUUAAUUACUUCAUUUGUUACAAACACAACUGUUUAAUCUGUAUCAUCCUCACUCUGUAGCACGUGAGAGGUGUACGUUGCUGACUUUUGACUUGGAGUUGAGCAUAUAAUAGUAUGUAGACAGGAUUUUCUCAUACUUGCCCUUUAUGUGGAGUGAACAUAGUGCUGGAGUAUGUCGUUCAGGAGUAGUCAGUUUGAAGUUCCUAUUCUAGCAUUUCUAUUGGGUCUGUGGAGAUUUUGUCUACCUGAUGAAGCCAUCAGUAUCAGAACUGAUUUACAUAUACAUGAGUUUAGAAAUGGUCUUAAUUAGACAGCAUCAGGCCUUGGGUGUGGCAGUAGCAAGUCUGGGACAAACAAAGAUGUGUAGGGCUCGUUACUACUUGUUAAAUGAUACACACGAGUUGGGUUCCUCUCUACAGAGGAAGCUACAGGCCAUGUUGGUUGCUCUUGGUGGUUCAGGCUUUUUUGUGGAAUCUUACUUCUGACUUAUUUUUCACUUUAUUUUUCCUUCCCAGAUUUUGAUGUCACUUUCUUGUAGUCCUUCCCCAUAUAAAUGAGGAGGCAAAUUUUAAUUCUGAACGAGCUCAUCUAUUUUUUCAAUUUCUUCAGUGACAAAUGACUAGGGAUUCUAACAGUCAAACUUCCUCCAUUGCAAACCAUCUUAAUCAUCAUUCUAGAGGUUUGUCCUCUAGAAUGAAUGAGGAAGAGAUAGUAAAGUAAUUAAGAUGGAUUUGGGUCUCAUUACUAAUUUAAUUUUAACUUAAUUAUACUAAGGCUGAAGUAUUAACUCAUUGUAUACAUUGGAGAUUGUUUCUUGGAUACAUGUUUGUGAGUGAGCUAACUGGGAAAACAACUUCCCUCAGAGCUUAUACCUCAUCUCAUAUUACAUUUGUAGGUUUUUAAACUGACACCAGAGGAGUUGAGAAUGAGAAAGUCACUCUAAGGGUUUCAACAAAUAAAAUAAACUUUAUAUAUAAUUAAAAAUUAUGAAGGCAAUGAGCAUCUUGUUUUUGGAUGAGUGCUGUGUCAAGAAUCCUUUGCAGUGCAGAGGAGAGGAUCAGGAAGUAGGAAAGAGAGACAGUAACAAUGUGUUAGCAUAACCCACGUAAACAAUAUUAUGCAAUCUUGGUAAGUUACUUUAUUUAUCACAAACUCGGGUAUCUUCUGAAAUCCAAACCUGAUCAGGAGAACAACCACAGAAACUAAAAGAAAUUGUAUUUCUCAAAACUCAUUGUGUGUCAGAUACAGGUAUGGAGCACACUUUGUUUUCCCUUUGCUAUGACUGCAUUUGACAAAAUUGUUCAGUUCAAAUAGGUACUUUUUUUGUGUUACCUGUCUAUAAAUUCUGUCUUAUGUCUGCUACUGUUUCCUCAGUGUGUCUUGUGAAAAAAGAGGUCAAGAUCCAAUGUAGAUUGUUUAGCCACUCUGUUUUGUAAUUUUUAGCUGUGCAAGUAUUAUGUUUUUAGAACUUUUUGCGUAACAAUUACUGUUUUGUUUUUUGAUUCCUAUCCAUUACCACUGAUGUUGUCUUUACCCAUAACUUGGGGUUAUGGGUUAGUUAUGCUGUGUGAAUUGACAGACACUCCAAUUCUAGAUAUGCAGCUGCUUUUGUAAGCUAAACUAAUGAUGGCUAAUAACUGGAGAUACUGAAGAAGAACUUCCAAAUCCUGGAUUUACUUUACUGCUGCUCUCUUGUGCUGGUAAUCAUUUUCAUCUGAUCAUGCAGGAAGGCACUCUUGGGAGCUAAUCAGAAGAUUGGUGACUUGUUUAUGAAGGGGUUGUUGUGAUGGUAGUUAUCCUGUGACGGGAAUAACUUCCCACAAAGAUCUUUGCAGGGGGAGUUACUAUGCAGAACAUAAUAAAGGUGCCAAACUGGAAACACUAGGAAUUGAAUAAUUGAUACCAAAGAGACAAUGACAGAAGAGAAGGGGAGUGUUAUUCUCUUGAUUAUGGCUCUGUCUACUCAUCUCUUCUGGAACCAGCAAUAUCAUUAUACAUAAGAGCAACAAUAACUCUGUUCCAAGUUAAAUGGAACAGAGUUAUUGUUGAUAAAAUAGUCUCAAAAAUAGUAAAUGGUAGUUUUGCUGCUUGGCAGACCUACAGGUCAGUACACAGGCAAGCUCUGUGUUUGUGUUGGAGCAUGUUGUAAUUUGGGUGAGGUUUUUUGUUUUCUAUUAUUGAAGCAUAGUUUACAUAUGUUUUCAUAUAUAUCCUAAUCAUGAAGUUUGGUUUUGCAUCUUUGCAGUGUCCAGAGGAGUGAGCUCAAUCCUUACCUUCCACCAUGCAACAGUUAUGAGCACAUAUUGUAGAGAGCAUCUUAAAACUGCAAAAUCCUAAAGCUAAAACUUCCAGAUCAGAGGAGUGAGAAGGAAAAUCCAGACAAUUCUUCCUAACUACAGAUCAAGGAAUAUAUUCAGUAAACAAGUAGGAGUAAAAUGGACCAACACUUCUUUUAUAUAUUUGAAGCCAAAAAUUUGAUCUUCGUUCUGGGAUGGUCAUCCAAGACUUUGAACCAUAUAUCCCUCUCAGUCUAGUAUGACAUACCAGUCUUUCUUACAAGAUAUCAAUGAUAACUAGGAGAUGGAUCAGUGAUAAUGUGUAUUUUUCUGUAAAUACUAAAAUUUGCAAAGGUCACCCAGAAGAUGCAGAGUGAUCCUGCACAACCAUCCCACAGACUGAAAGUACAGAGCUGAAAUUUUGUGAGCACACUGCUGUAAUGUGCCUAUUGAUAAGGUUACAGCAUCUUUUCCACAGUGAAUGCUGUUCUGACUUCUGUGAGGUUAGGAGCAACCUUUCUUUUGUGAACUUGCAAAGUCAUGCCUGCGAGUAUUCUACCAGUGCCUCAUACCAUGACUGAUGAAGUGAGUGAGAUCUAAAAGCACUCCCAUGUAGGAUGAGAGGACCAUGGUAAUGUUGUAUCUCAUCUAUGAGUGUGAAGGUGUAAAUUGUGUAAUGGAGAAGCCAAACCUGAAAACUUGCUGGUGAUACAUUACCUUAAGGCAUCAUGCAGAAGUAUCACAUGGGAGGUUCGGCAGAUUUGUCAUCGUGAUAGGAAGAAGACCCACAUGUGUAUGUUACGGCAGUCCAAAACCUUUCUUGAAAUGCAGAUUGUUGCAGGUUCUGAGGAGUGAGUUCCAAUUCUUUCUUGUCCCUUCAGCCCCCUGCUGUCCAGGCCAGGAGAGGGAUACCAAGUUGCAUCCAAAGUAGGUCAGUACCUCUGCCAGUAUUGAAUGCUGCAGUGAGUCUUGAGUUGACUUAUUAAUCUGUGAAACAAAGGUGAUACACUUUAGAAACAUAGAAAUGUGUCUCAUGAGGUUUGAGUCUAUGAGAAAAUAGAGGAUGCCAAGGCAGAUAAAUAGUAAUUGUGUUUCUUUAUGUGAUCUUUGUUGCAGUGAUUCUGUUGAGAGUUUGACAACUAGUGGAGGUGAAAGCUGGUAGACAGAAGAUCCUCCUUCUGUGUAGUUUUCCAUGCAGAGUGAGUCAGCAUUGGCAACUUGUUUAACAGUUUGAUGCUGCCAGGUAGGGGUAUGAGGAUUCUGAAGGACUGGGACUGAAGCCCCUUGCACAUGUUGAACUGGUGUGAAAAAACCUACUGGGGGGUCUGUUGCCAUCAAACUAGGCAUCAGAAGACUUCUUAUUUUUGGCUUGAAAUUGAACCAUAUGCUAGUAGAAUUGUAUUCUCUUGAGUAACCAUGUUUCGCUUGUGAGGUGGAAAAGAUGAAGGUAACAGAUCUUUGAGGUUAUAGGCACAUGUGCUGAGGACUGGUCAGAUGCCCCAGACAAUAUUACAUACUGUUCUACAUGGGCUAAUGUACUAAUACUUAAAAAGGAGAGGUUGAGCAUCCUGCUCUGGUAGCCUGUCAUAAGGUCAAUAAGAAAUUAUUUAGAAAUCUAAGACUCCAGAUACAGAGCUUUUUGUUGAGUGUGCCCUGAUCUUUGUGCCGUUACUCUGAAAUACCACAUAGAGGAAUGACAUGAGGUCUGUGUCCUAGCCUGGAUGCUCCAGAGCAAAAACUCCACAUACCACCUUCUUACUGAGAGUAAUUGGAAGAAUCUAGAAGCAUGUGUUUAAAUUACAGAAAAAUGGUCAAAUGGUGCAAAUACCAAUAAGGAAUACUGCAUUUCCAAAGGGAUGUCCAGGGACUAUAGAAUGCUGAAGCCCACCUGGCAGAAAAAAGAAUCUUGGAAAAAAGCCAGACUUGAUGUGUGUCAGGCACAUUAGAAUGUGGACACCAUCAAGGUUUCUGUGGAAAACUUGUCUCCACUUAAAAAGUAUUUGUACAGUUGCACAGCAGAUACACGUGGAUUAUCUUAAAAGAUAAACCAGCAUAUUUCCUUAUCAUAAUCUUAUUUGGUUUUUGACAUUAUUUCUAUUCAUUUUUAUACUGUGCACACUAAUAUACAUGAUAUGGUAUGGUGCAAUGCUCCCUCUUUGAUAUGUUUCUAUCACAGGUUUUAUUCCAGUGCAACAACACUAACUUAUAUCAGCGUGUUUUAAGAUAUCUGAGACUGGUGGCAGGAUCACUAAAACCAUUUAACUGGAGAUUAGUUCCUCACAGGCAAGUAUGUAGAUGGCAGAUGGCCUCCACAGUUUGUACAAACUUUCUUGUAUUGGAAGUUGAAGGUACUUUGUGUGUCUGAGCCUAAGGAUCUAUUCCUACACUGAGCAGACUGCAUGAAUGUUAGCUGCUUUAAUAGCUUGUGGUUUUUUUUUCCAGAGAUUAGUGGGCUAAAUGGUCCUUGAUGAGGAAAAAAGAAUUUGGAAAGUGCUUUUCAUAUUCUACAAGAUUUCCACAGCCUAGUUGCUUAAACUCUCUGGACCUUAAUUAACUUUCUACAAGUAAUAACAGGUGUAUCUAUUUCUCAUUCACUAGUCAUAUAUUUAUUGUAGGACCAAAUGGUUUUUAAGGCAAGGAAACCUCUUACUGCUAGAGAAAACAUAACAAUGAAUUGGACUUGCUCUGGAUGAUCAGCACAGACAAGUGUUUGUGUUAGGCUGGGCCAGCUAAAAUGUUGUUUUCCAAGUAUGUGAGUGCAGCUGCCUUGAAGAAAUGUAUCGCAGUAAAAUCUUCCAGUUCUCGAAUAUGGCUGUAAUGGCUGUCUAAAAAUAAUACCUAACAAAGGCUGUCCUUCACAGGGGAAACCAGAAAUAACCUUUUUCCCUGUCAAAAUGUAUGGCUAUUAUCAGUUAAUCUGCAAGCAGCAGCUUGACCCAGAGACCACGAAAGAGCUGACUUUCAAACAUAUUUUCUACGUAAGGAAUCUUGAGCUUGGACUUCUCCCCAAAGAGAUAAUAAAUACCAUUCGCUUCAA